rnacentral:lncRNA from 1 species
UGGACCUAUAAGUCACUUAAAAAAUAUAAAUCUUUAAAUCAUUUCAUAGUAGAGUCAUGUAGUUCAAUUAUUUACAUAAAUGAAUUGUCUGCGUUUUGUAAAUGCUUGUAAAAUAUAUUUAGCUGUUCUUCUUGGAAAAUAAAUUAAAAAUUGUAUUAAUUGUUCACAGUGUGGCAGUGAUAAAAAUGUUUCUUUGCUUGGUAUGGUUGAGUAAAGUUCAUUUCGAAGUUCAUUAUAAAAAUCACAGUUAAUAAGGAAAUGAGUUUCACUUUCAAUUUCAUUUUUGCUACACAUUUUACAAAGUCUGUUGUCUUCAGGUUCGCCACUAAACCGUCCUGUUUCAAUUCUUAGAGGUAGAAUGCCGCAUCUAAAUUGAGCCAACAUCGACCGUUCGUUGCGUUGUAGGUUAAGGUUCACACAUGAUUCAGCACAGAAAUAAUUUUUGAAAGUUUUGAAUGUUCGCAGUUUUGGAUAUCUAUCUAAGUUUUUUAACCAAUCAAGACUAUGCUGUUCAAGUAGUGCUGAUUUUGCAUUAUUUAUAUCACAACUCUUUCUAUUGUGAAAAGUUUCCAUAACUCCAAUGUUUGUCAUUAUAGUUUUUAUUUCUGCCGACCAGUUGUUUGAGCAUAUGCUAUAGUCCCAUUGAAAGAUACGUUUGCAAAUCCUUGAAUUAUCCAUUAACAACAGUCUAUUCCAGUAACUUAUCAUGUUGAGCCAUCGUCGUUCUUUAGAAGGUAGCCAUCCGAUAUCCCCUCUAUGGCUAGUUUUGGUGCAAAUUUGUGUACUCCAAGAAAAUAUCUAAUUGCUUUGUUUUGUAUAUUAUCGAUUCCGGAGAAGUCUUUGUAUCCC